GACAGAGGGGGCAAGCGUUGCUCGGAAUUACUGGGCGUAAAGGGCGCGUAGGCGGGAUGGCAAGUCGGUCGUGAAAUCCCUCGGCUCAACUGAGGAUCGUCGAUCGAUACCGCCGUUCUUGAGGAUUGCAGAGGAGACUGGAAUUCCCGGUGUAGCGGUGAAAUGUGUAGAGAUCGGGAGGAACACCGGUGGCGAAGGCGGGUCUCUGGGCAAUUCCUGACGCUGAGGCGCGAAAGCGUGGGGAGCAAACAGG
rnacentral:rRNA from 1 species